AGUUUUUUAACUAUUUCUUAUUAAAUAAAUAUAUUACAGAUUUAUGGAAGAAAAUCGCUAAAAUCUGUUGUAGGGUUAUUGUUUGAUUAAAUUUGUUUAUUUGAUCCAUCAUUGACAAUGAAGUGAUGGAUUGCUUGUUGCUUAAGAAUUAUUAACGUUUUUUUAUGAAUUUGUUAUAGAGUUUGGCUUUUUUUCUCUAUAGUCAUUUUAGGGCUAGAAUGUUCUAGGAAAUUUUGAGUGUUUUUUAGAUUGAAAAUCAUUCAAUCAUUUGAUCUAAAUUGAUUACUCAUGGCUUAAGAAUUAUUGAAGUUUUUAUUUUGAAUUUGUUAUGGAGUUUGGUUUUUUUUCUCUAUUUUCUAUUGUCAUAUUAGGGCUAGAAUGUUCUUCGUGGUAGGAAAUUUUGGGUUUUUUUUAUAUUGAAAAUCAUUCAGUCAUUUGAUCUCAAUUGAUGGCUCAUGGCUUAAGAAUUAUUGUAAGUGCUAUAGAGUUUGUCAUUUUUUCUCUAUUGUGAUUUUAGGGCUUCAAUGUUAUUAGCUGUAAUAAAUUCUGGGUUUGUUUUGUUGUAUAUGUUUUCUCUUGGUUAUCUUUGCAUCAAUUGUUUUUUAUUUGAUGAUCCAUCAUCUUUCUCUUGUUCAAAUUUAGUUUGUCAUUAAGAAAAAAAUGCCUAGCUCUUGUUAAUUUUAGUAGUAGCUCUUUAAAAAAAAAAAACCCAAAAAAUAGACUUUAGUAUGGUCUAUAUUGCUAGUUGUAUAUAUUGUGCUUAUCUAUAUUUUUUGAUGGAACUAUAGCUUAGAGAAAUAGUAUUGCUUAGCUAUAGCUUAGAGAAAUAGUAUUGUUUAUAUACUAGAAAUUUAGGAUGAGAUUUUUCUCCAAUUUGAAAUGCAUUCGAAUGCACUUCUACAAAGUCAUUUAGUUUUGUUUCAUUUCGCAAAAGAUGGGCAUUGUGCUAGUUUAACUUGGAUACGAACUAGUUUUUACUUUGUAGAAAUAUUGAAUUGCAUGUUCAUCUUAAAAGUUGGGUCGUCUUUUGAGGCUCUUUAUUUCAAGACUAUGUUCCAUAAUUUACUAAAAAAUCCAGAUAUUAAUAGGGUAAAAUCAUUAAGAUUGCAGUAUUUAGAUAAUCAUUGUUAGAAAUGUUUUUGUAGUUUAUGUACCCCCCAAUAAUAUGCCUACCUACCUCUCGUUAAAAUUUAGUUGUAGCUCUUUUAAAAAGCUAUAGAUUGAGCCUACCAAACUUGCGCAAGUUCAAUUCGUGAAGUGUAAAUUUUUACAAAUCUUGUUCAGGACAAAAGAAAAUGAAUGAUAGCAAAUUGAUUUAUUGUAUUUUUGGUAGAGAACUCCAAUCAAAUGUCAAUGGGACUUUAGAUUAUAUUGGUGGUGAUGCAUGUACAUUUAUGAUUGACAAUAGAACUAGGUUAGAUGGCCUGCGAAAAUACGUAGUAGAGCAUUUCAAACUAAACAUGCACUUGAUAACAUUGAGGUAUUUUGUCUCGACAAAUAGAAGAUUUAUUGUGAAUCUAUUCAUUAAUGAUGAUAUUGAGAGGAUGUUGAAUGCACAUGAAGGCGAGAAUAAUGUGUUCGUCUAUGUAUUUGAUGGGAGUGGACAAAGGGGUGGAAGUACGUCGCGUAAUACUAGCGUAAUCGAAGAGGUCAGACCACCCCAAUCCUCAAAUGUUUUGGUCUCUGGUUUCGAACAAAGUAAUGCAUCAAGGUUGCUUAGCAGUGUUUGUUCCAUUUGUAUUCAUUUCAUACUAUUGGUGCACAUAUAUUUAUGAUUGAUUCUAUUUUUUUUUUUAAUUGGAUAUGCCACUUUUCUCUCUAUUUCUUUAUUGGAUACGCUACUUGUGGUUUUUUUUUUAUGCCAAUUAUGAAAAUAGUAUUAGCAAUGCAAGACCGGAACAACCAAGAGGCACAGGGGAGCCAUCCACUUCAUCGGGUCAGAGGCAAGAGAGAUACUACAAGCUACGCUUAAUGGUGAAGUAUUAGCUGGAGAAUCCAGACGUUAUGUACAGGUGGCUCAUGAUCUACUAUUGGGUAACACUUCUGUAGAGACAAGUGCGAACUAGGGGUGGAGAAGUGGAAAGUGAACGUGAGGAGGACGAUGAUAGUGAAAGCGAAGAAGACGAUGAUGGUGGAGAAGAUGAUAUUCAAAGCCACGAUGAUGGUGAGAGCAACGAUGAAAAUGAGAGAAGAACAAAGAAAAAAGCAGAUCACUUCCAAACACCGACGUUGUAAGAGGAAUCGAGAUGGAAUUUGCGAUCUUGAAGAGAUGGAAGGACUAUAGCGGAAACCGAUGUGAGGGUUGAGAUGGAGAAAUUUAACCCUUUUUUUUAGUUUGAUAUGUAUGUUUGAAAUAGAUGUAAAGUAAAGAAAAUGGUUGAUAUUGAUUUUGAUGUUGACUUUGAUAUGUAUUUUUUUAUAUUAAAAAGGAAAUGAUUCAAAGAUAGUUGGAUAUAUAUGUUA